UCCUGGUGGCUCAGAGAUUAGAACAUCUGCCUCCAAUGUAGGAGACCCAGGUUCAAUCCCUGGGUCGGGAA
rnacentral:tRNA from 1 species